UGAGAUGAUGAUCGCACUGGGCUCUGAACAGUUUGACAAUAAACUGUAUAUUUUGAUGGACAAAUGCAGCCUAGAAAGCUACGUCUGAUCA